rnacentral:rRNA from 1 species
AAUUAAAAUUUUUAUUAAUAAAGGGUUUUUAAAAGUAUUUAUAGGUUUAAGUAUAAAUUUGAAAUAAUUAAUUUUAUUAUAGAUAAAUAGUACAGUGAGGGGAUUUUUGAAAUUUAAAGAAGAAUAUUUUGUUUGUAGUACCUUUUGUAUCAGGGUUGAUUAAAAAUGGGCUUUGUAGAAAGUUUUCUCGAAUUUAUAAGAGCUAAAUAUAUAUAUAUAUUAAUGUGGAAGAAUUACUUUUAAUAUAUAUUUGGAAAUUAGACGUUAGUCGAUUUUAAAUAUAUCUAGUUUUUUAAGAAAGUAAUUUAAUUACGUUAAUUUAAUAGAUAAUUUUAAUUGAAAAUUGAUCUUUAAAUUAAUAAAUAUCUAAGGGGAUGAGCUUUUGGAUAGAUUUUUAUAAAUUUUUGAUUUUGAAAGUUUAAUAGGAAUAGAAGUUUUCAUUUUUUGUAGUGUUUUAUAUCAAGAUUUUCAUAAAGGUAAUUUAUUUUAUUUUAAAUUUUUUAUUAAAAUAUUAAACUGAAUUUAAAAUUUUAAGUAAUAAUGAUUAAAUUAGUAUAGGUUUUGUUUAGAUGAAUAAUUGAUGAAAGUUUUAAUUAAGUAACUCGGCAAAUAUAUUUUCUGCCUGUUUAUUAAAAACAUGGCCUUUUGGUAUUAAUUUAAGGUCUGGCCUGCCCAAUGAUUUGAUUAAAUGGCCGCGGUACUUUGACCGUGCAAAGGUAGCAUAAUCAUUAGUUUUUUAAUUGAAAGCUGGAAUGAACGGUCGGACAAGAAAAUUACUGUCUCAAUUAAAUGGUUUUAGAAUUUUAUUUUUUAGUAAGAAAGCUUAAAUGUUUUUAAGGGACGAGAAGACCCUAUAGAAUUUUAUAAAUUUUUAUAGAUUAGAUUUUAGGAUUUAUUGUUUGGAUUUAUAAAAAUUUGUUUUAUUGGGGUGAUAGAAAAAUUUAAAAAACUUUUUUUAAUUAAUUACACUUAUUUGUGUAUAAAUGAUCCGUUUUUUACGAUUAUAAGAUUAAAUUACCUUAGGGAUAACAGCGUAAUUAGUUUGGAGAGUUCAUAUCGAUAAACUAGUUUGCGACCUCGAUGUUGGAUUAAAAUAAACUUUUGGUGUAGGGGCUAAUAAGUUAAGUCUGUUCGACUUUUAAAAUUUUACAUGAUCUGAGUUUAAACCGGCGUGAGCCAGGUUGGUUUCUAUCUUUAAAUAAUUUUAAUAUUUUAGUACGAAAGGACCAAGUAUUAGUUUUAAUAAAUUAAAUUUAGGAUAUUGAUAUU